UAGGGAAUCUUCCGCAAUGGACGCAAGUCUGACGGAGCAACGCCGCGUGAGUGAAGAAGGAUUUCGGUUCGUAAAACUCUGUUGUUAGAGAAGAACAGCGCAUAGAGUAACUGUUAUGCGUGUGACGGUAUCUAACCAGAAAGCCACGGCUAACUACGUGCCAGCAGCCGCGGUAAUACGUAGGUGGCAAGCGUUGUCCGGAUUUAUUGGGCGUAAAGCGAGCGCAGGCGGUCAAUUAAGUCUGAUGUGAAAGCCCCAGGCUCAACCGGGGGGGGUCAUUGGAAACUGGUUGACUUGAGUGCAGAAGGGGAGAGUGGAAUUCCAUAUGUAGCGGUGAAAUGCGUAGAUAUAUGGAGAAACACCAGUGGCGAAGGCGACUCUCUGGUCUGUAACUGACACUGAGGCUCGAAAGCGUGGGUAGCAAACAGG
rnacentral:rRNA from 1 species